UACGUAGGGGGCAAGCGUUGUCCGGAAUUAUUGGGCGUAAAGCGCGCGUAGGCGGUCUUUUAAGUCUGGUGUUUAAGUGCGGGGCUCAACCCCGUGACGCACUGGAAACUGGGAGGCUUGAGUGCAGAAGAGGAGAGCGGAAUUCCACGUGUAGCGGUGAUAUGCGUAGAGAUGUGGAGGAACACCAGUGGCGAAGGCGGCUUUCUGGUCUGUAACUGACGCUGAGGCGCGAAAGCGUGGGGAGCAAACAGG
rnacentral:rRNA from 1 species